GCUAGAACUUCGGCGGACGCGUAAGUUGAAUUGUAGCUCCUGGAAUCCUCGAUCAUCGGCCUCGAGGAAAACUGUAGUGCGGCGGAUUCCCGGGAGGGGAAAAGACUGUUGUCUUACUAAACGUAUAUAGGUCCUACGUGGAAGUCUGGCUUAAGCCAUGAGCCCUGUCCUGAAUCAGCAAGUGAACAUUAGUUCAUAUGUUUAGCCAUGGCCAAG